CACAACUCCCCCCAACCCAAUGAACAAGAAGACCCAAAGGCUUUUCAAGAAGUGUGCUGCAGUCUGCAGGCGGGGAGAAAACACCUCAGUGAAGAAGAGGCCACCACCAGUGGAGGGUGCGAAGGCUUACAUCAGAUGUGGAUUACUACCCGUGUGUGAAACACUGCAUCUAAAGCCAAGAUUGAGCCUCUGAGAAAACCAGAACUUUUUCACUGAAGACCAAACUUUUACCAGGAAUGCCGUGGUCAACCGUAGACGAUCCCCAGCAAGAAGAGAGCCAUGGGAAAAACCUGGAGCAGGAUCUCGGCUGUGAGGAAGGGAUCCAGACUGGUGAAGACGUGUCAAGAUGCAAGGUUCAUUUCGGGCUUCAUCCGCAUCGACAAAAAACAACGGUCACAGGUGAGGUCCUUGGGAACAAAGUUGCAUGCAGCUGCAUCCAGAGGCCACACCAUGUCCCGUGAUCAGAUAGAGAGAAGCCUUUUUUUUUUUUAAGUCACGAAUCAGAAACGUGUCACGGAUCAUAGUGGACUCAAAGGGGUUUUCGACUGCACGGAUUCAUCUGGAGAAAACUUUCCAGACAGUGAAGGAAAGCCAAGAAGAGAUGACGACGAGCUUCUCCAGAGGGGGCAGAGCCUUUUGGCCGGCUUUGUGAGCUGAACACUUUACACGGUUCAAUAAAAAGACAGCCAAAGUUCAUGACCCCGAUAUAUGAUUCACAGCCAUGAAAGUUACAAGACUGAAGUGACCGCAAACACUUUGAUGGUUCCAUUUACAAAAAGACUCAUCACCACCGUGAUGGUUUUCAGUCAUGGAAAUGUUUAAACUCCUCCCAGCAACUCAAAAAAAAAAAUACUAGUCCUUCAAAUAGAAGAAAUGUUCUCUUUGGUUGAGCUGCAUCUUAUUAUUAUUAAUAAAUCCACAUGUCCUUGUGUAUUUAUAAAUUUAUUAUAUGCAUGAAAUGAUUGCAAAAAUUCCUGAUCCUGGUGUCAAUGAUGACAGAUAACAGAUAUAUUUAAUUAAACUACAAGACAAAUAAAGUCUUUACAACUCAGAUGCUGUGAAGAGAUUUAUAAUUUUUAUUCAUGUGCAUACAGAAUGUGCCUUGUUCUGUUCUUGACUAACCAAAAUUAUGACAAUAAAAUGUA